rnacentral:rRNA from 1 species
GGGAACAUACCCUUUUCUACGGAAUAGCUCUGGGAAACUGGAAUUAAUACCGUAUGCGCCCUACGGGGGAAAGAUUUAUCGGGGAAGGAUUGGCCCGCGUUGGAUUAGCUAGUUGGUGGGGUAAAGGCCUACCAAGGCGACGAUCCAUAGCUGGUCUGAGAGGAUGAUCAGCCACAUUGGGACUGAGACACGGCCCAAACUCCUACGGGAGGCAGCAGUGGGGAAUAUUGGACAAUGGGCGCAAGCCUGACCCAGCCAUGCCGCGUGAGUGAUGAAGGCCUUAGGGUUGUAAAGCUCUUUCACCGAUGAAGAUAAUGACGGUAGUCGGAGAAGAAGCCCCGGCUAACUUCGUGCCAGCAGCCGCGGUAAUACGAAGGGGGCUAGCGUUGUUCGGAAUUACUGGGCGUAAAGCGCACGUAGGCGGAUAUUUAAGUCAGGGGUGAAAUCCCAGAGCUCAACUCUGGAACUGCCUUUGAUACUGGGUAUCUUGAGUAUGGAAGAGGUAAGUGGAAUUGCGAGU